rnacentral:rRNA from 1 species
AUCCAGACUCCACGGGAGGCAGCAGUGGGGAAUAUUGGGCAAUGGGCGCAAGCCUGACCCAGCAACGCCGCGUGAAGGAAGAAGGCUUUCGGGUUGUAAACUUCUUUUAAGAGGGAAGAGCAGAAGACGGUACCUCUUGAAUAAGCCACGGCUAACUACGUGCCAGCAGCCGCGGUAAUACGUAGGGGGCAAGCGUUAUCCGGAUUUACUGGGUGUAAAGGGGGCGCAGACGGCGAUGCAAGCCAGGAGUGAAAGCCCGGGGCCCAACCCCGGGACUGCUCUGGAAACUGCGGCGCUGGAGUACGGGAGGGGCAGGCGGAAUUCCUGGUGUAGCGGUGAAAUGCGUAGAUAUCAGGAGGAACACCGGCGGCGAAGGCGGCCUGCUGGACCGUGACUGACGUUGAGGCUCGAGAGCGUGGGGAGCAAACAGGAUUAGAUACCCCCGUA